rnacentral:rRNA from 1 species
AGUGAACGCUGGCGGCGUGCUUAACACAUGCAAGUCGAACGAGAACGGAUUAUAGCUUGCUAUAAUUGUCAGCUAAGUGGCGCACGGGUGAGUAAUGUAUAGGUAAUAUGCCUCUUACUAAGGGAUAACAAAUGGAAACGUUUGCUAAUACCUUAUACUCCUUAUUAACCUAAGUUAAUAAGGGAAAGAUUUAUUGGUAAGAGAUUAGCCUGUAUUGUAUCAGUUAGUUGGUGGGGUAAUGGCUUACCAAGACUAUGACACAUAACUGGUUUGAGAGGAUGAUCAGUCACACUGGAACUGAGACACGGUCCAGACUCCUACGGGAGGCAGCAGUGGGGAAUAUUGCACAAUGGACGAAAGUCUGAUGCAGCAACGCCGCGUGGAGGAUGACACAUUUCGGUGCGUAAACUCCUUUUAUAUGAGAAGAUAAUGACGGUAUUAUAUGAAUAAGCACCGGCUAACUCCGUGCCAGCCGCCGCUGUAA